GGGGAUGACUGGCUUCGACAGGGAAGGCAUGUCGUAGAUCGCAAGCCGAGACGCCCAGUCUCGUAAAAAGGGCAAAAGCCAUAACAGGCAACAACACCUUCCGGGCUCAGCCUCAGCUGGCCCUCGCUGCUUAGUUAAAGUAGCGCGCCUCUCUCCGUUCGCUCGGUGAUUGGGAAGUAGGCGACAGCAAGCCGGGUGCUCCUGAUGUGAUUGUUUGCUAGCAUCGGGCUAAGAUACGCAGACUGAUCCGGCGGCGCUUUGUUUGGGGUGCAACCGUCGGACGACAACCAACAACAAACUAAGCUUGUAGCACAUCUGCGGCAGAAUUUCUGGACGGGGGUUCGACUCCCCCCAUCUCCACCA
rnacentral:tmRNA from 1 species